GAAAUGUAGCUUUAUAGAAAGCGUUCCAUUUACACUGGGGAGUGUGGCUGUGCGACUCAGCUUAUUUUGA
rnacentral:tRNA from 1 species